rnacentral:ncRNA from 2 species
CUAAACUUGCAGCGCUUUGGUGCUCGCGCUGGGCUUUUUGCCCGCGCAGUUAAACGGGAAACAGGGAGCCGUGUCCGCUCGGAUCGGGCCAACCUGUGCUGCCCCCGCAACGGUAAGCAACCUUCUCUGGCAUGCGCCGGAGACCAGUCACUCAAGCGCCACUGCGAUCGCGGGAAGGCGGGUGUGCUGCGGUUGCCAGCCCGGAUACCGGCCGAAGCGAGUCGGGGAAU